GACGAACGCUGGCGGCGUGCUUAACACAUGCAAGUCGUACGGUAAGGCCCUUUCGGGGGUACACGAGUGGCGAACGGGUGCGUAACACGUGAGUAACCUGCCCACAACUUUGGGAUAACGCUAGGAAACUGGUGCUAAUACUGGAUAUGUGCUCCUGCUGCAUGGUGGGGGUUGGAAAGCUCCGGCGGUUGUGGAUGGACUCGCGGCCUAUCAGCUUGUUGGUGGGGUAGUGGCCUACCAAGGCGGCGACGGGUAGCCGGCCUGAGAGGGUGACCGGCCACAUUGGGACUGAGAUACGGCCCAGACUCCUACGGGAGGCAGAAGUGGGGAAUAUUGCACAAUGGGCGCAAGCCGGAUGCAGCAACGCCGCGUGCGGGAUGACGGCCUUCGGGUUGUAAACCGCUUUCAGCAGGGACGAAGCUUUUUGUGACGGUACCUGCAGAAGAAGCACCGGCUAACUACGUG
rnacentral:rRNA from 1 species